ensembl:lncRNA
AAAAUUUAAACAAAAUAAAAAAAAUUUAUAAGAAAAAAAAGUAUUUUAAAAGCUAUACUAUUUUAGUGGAGUAGAAUAUGUGGAUUGGAGAUUGUUAGGAGCAUGUUCAGCCAUUUUUAUCCAUGAAGAAAAAAAACAAGGGGGGAACUGUCCAUCAUCCAUCGUUUUUUCUUUUUAAUUUAUUAUUUUUUUUGCUCUGAGGUUCCUCAGAUGUCAAAAAUCGGCCCACAUUCCAGAGAACAAAUGCUGAGUAUAACUAUAUAUGCAUGUGCGAAGUGUUGCUGGUUUAGUGAAACCUUGGGCAGUUAUUCAGUACACAUAAACAAACAUAUUUAUCCGAUGAAAGCUUUACUUAUCAAGCAGAAUAAGUACCUGUGGCUUUAAAGCAAAUUAUCCGCAAUAUAACAGCUAUACCAAUUCACAGGUAAAUAAUACAAAAAAUACAGUUAACGCUUGACAGGGAUUUAUUCAUUAUUUGUGCACUGCUUUAGUGAUUUUUCAACUGAAGCGGUUCUAGUUUGUUUCAUCAGAAUUUUACAGGGACCCUCUUGCAGCAUCAAAAAAAUAAUCAAAUUUAGCCUUGGAAACCUGCACAAUCAAUUCCACAUUAACAUUCAUUUCAAUAAUAAAUGAGUUUAUGAUAUAGAAAACACUGGGGGACGACUCGUGGGAUCUGCAAAUAACCCAUAUUUCUAAGAAUACGCUUCUCAGGCUGGUAUGGAUUAGCUUGACGCUAACUGUUUGCAAAGGUCUAAUGAGCAGCCUGUAAAGAGCUCACGAACAGCUUGCAAAUAGCAGCCAUGGGGGUUACAGUUGGAGCAAACUGAUCCAUCAAUGAAAAAAGCCAGCGAGUCUGACAUUUUGGUGUACGUAACCGCAGCUGUUGCUUUGCCCUCAGACAAGUCGCAAAUAUGCACAACUCUAAAGUGCUUGACAAGAAUCUUAAAGACCCCAUGAAAUCAAAUCUAAAUUGGAGUUUUGUGGUGCUUUGUUAAUGUGUUAGCUCUGAGGCUAAUGCUACCUGACAAAACCAACACCACAAUUUGAAAUUUACUUCUUUUGGUAAAAUUACCCUAAAUAUUAAUGACUACACAUUUUGGUCCAAUCAGAAGAAUGAAGUCAGAGUUGGUGGAUGUUUGUUAGCUUUGAUGUCAGUUCUAGUGUAUGCUAGUGUACUAGUUUUAAGAGCAGUACGCAUUUGAUUUGUAGUUUUUUGUUUUUCGUUACUAGCAAAACGGACCAAAAAUACUUACUUAUCAUGCGCUACCAAUUUUUUGUCCAGUCAGAUGCUCUGGAGUUAGAAAGUUCCUUUUA